AGAGUUUGAUCCUGGCUCAGGACGAACGCUGGCGGCGUGCUUAACACAUGCAAGUCGAGGGCGGGGAGCAAUCCCCGACCGGCGAACGGGUGCGUAACACGUGAGCGACCUGCCUGGAAAUGGGGGAUAGCCGGCCCAACGGCCGGGUAAUACCGCAUACGCUCUUCGGGGGGCAUACCCUGGGGAGGAAACCUUUCGGGGGUUUUCAGAGGGGCUCGCGGCCUAUCAGCUCGUUGGCGGGGUAACGGCCCACCAAGGCGACGACGGGUAGCUGGUCUGAGAGGAUGGCCAGCCACAUUGGGACUGAGAGACGGCCCAGACUCCUACGGGAGGCAGCAGUGGGGAAUCUUGCGCAAUGGCCGAAAGGCUGACGCAGCGACGCCGCGUGUGGGAGGACGCCCUUCGGGGUGUAAACCACUGUUGCCCGGGACGAACCGGGGAUUUCGAUCCCCCUGACGGUACCGGGUGAGGAAGCACCGGCUAACUCUGUGCCAGCCGCCGCGGUAAUUC
rnacentral:rRNA from 1 species